UCCUAGGAAGAGUAAACUUUGUCAUACUAUUUAUGAGAUUCACCUGAGAGAUAAGGAGGAAGCCAGGCAGGCUCUAUACUCAAUUCCUGCAUUCAAGUCUAUCAGGCAAUCAAACCUAGGUUAUUGAUGUUCACUUAACAGGGCAAUCCCUGACUCUGUGAUCAACUUGAAGCUCCUCCGCGAGUGCGUGCUCAGCCCUUUGAAGAGCCCGCAGAGGCACUCCAUUCUCCUGGUACUACCACUGCUUCAUCUGAUCUCCACCUCCCCAGACAUACCCAAGUCUGUGAUCCACUUCAAUAAGUCUGAGACAGUCCCCUCCUUCACCCUUUUAAAUGCUCUCACAAUUCUCCAGCUUUUAUCCGCUCACUAAGAAUCUCUACCUUCAUCGUCUCUUUUCAUUCUCCUCUUCCUUUCACCUCUUUCUUAGUUCAUCAACUUCACCAUGGGGUUUCCUGUUCACAUGAAACUUCUUUUUGUUCUUCUAUCUCUUGUGCUUGUCUUUCAACCGGCAUUAGCCCGUCCCGGCGGCGCCGGCAGUCUGCACCUUGAUCAUGGUUACAGGCUGCACCAAACAAGAAGGCCGAGAAUCACAAGGAAGAUGGAACACCUACUAAAACCAGACUUUUAUACCGAUGGAUGGCAUUCCAGGCUGCCCAGGGAAGCGGACAACUCAGUCAGGCUAGCAGGAUCGAGACUACCCGAUUGCUCACACGCAUGCGGAUCGUGCUUGCCAUGCAGGCGGGUGAUGGUGAGCUUCGUGUGUUCGACGUAUGAAGAGGCAGAGACAUGUCCCAUGGCCUACAAAUGCAUGUGCAAUAGCAGAUCUUACCCUGUGCCUUGAGAUUCUCUCUAGCUGAAACUAAAGCUGCACUCUAUGUAAACUCUGCAACAUGAAGCAGCUCGCGACUCCAUUGUAUCUUACUAAAAGUCCUUUUCUUCUGUUGCCCACCGCAUCCCUCACAAGUUUUUAACCUAUUUCACUGUUUUACUUUUGCUCCAUUAAGGUCCACUAUAUGAUGUAAGAGAUUGACAGGUCUGGUUGAGAAUGAUGCCAUGAAGUUCUCAUCUUCUGGAUAUCUUACACUUCUUUUCUUACUAA